CACGGAUUGAGUCUGUGGGCUUCACCGUCGCGGUGCUUUUAUAGAAAGGUCCCUGGCUUUUUUAAGAAUCAACCCGCAGUCCUCAAUAGUCCGUCCGUAAGUGAAAAAAAAACGUUUCAGGCCCGAGCACUGCGCCUUUGUCCCGAGCGAAGCGGCCGCAGUUCCUCUAUCCUCUCCUUCUCACGAGCCGAUCCGCCGCCGCCGCCGCCGUUGCCCCACCCUCGCUCGCCGCUGCGGAUCCACUGCCGCCCCCGCUCCAUCUCGUCGCCCCACCCUUCCCCCUCGGCACGCCGCUGCCCCCGUCUUCGCGACGGCCCGCCCAAGCUAACGAGGCUAACACGCCACUGCUCCAGCACGGCCUGACCUGGCAGGGGGAGCGCGACGGUGGUGGUGGCGAGGAGGCGGAGGAAGCAGUCGUCGUCGGUGUGGUGCCUGAUGGGGGAGGGGAGUGUCGCACAGCCAGCCUCGCGCCGGUACCUGCUCUGGGAAGAGCAUGCGGGGUGCUGGAGCAGUGGUCGUCGCGUCCCCGGGUGCCCGCUGCCCUACCCGCGCACAUGGUCGCCGUCGGCUCCCAGCCCCCCAGCGCUGGUCUCUGGUAGUCAACAUCGUUGACAGAGUAGGAGUACAUGCGGAGGUCGGGGAGAAGCAUGGUCUUGCAGGCCAGGGUCUUAGUUGGCGUGCGUGUGCUCUCCUAUCACCGCUGCCAGGCCACUGUAGGGGCUUCGCUUCGAGGGUGGGGGACACGGCUGCAUCAUGUAGGUGGGGGAGAAGACGACCAUGAGCACGGGCGUCCUCUGCGUGGUGGUAGUCAUGAGCCGUGCAACAUCAAGACUGGGUGGAGCACGGGUGACCGUUGUGGCUGGGAGCUGAGCUUCUCAUCCUCGAUCUGGAGAAAAUUAUAGUGACUCAUGACGAAACAUAGCAGCGUAGGAGCCAGCAAUGGAGCAAGCGAGGCAGAGGCUACAACAGAGCUCCUAGCCGAAGCUCAUCCAGGAGCGACACCACUAGCUGCUCGAACAAAUCAAACGAGGGUGCACCGGCCUCCAGCACGAAGCCUGCGAUGUGAGGCAGUCCUUUGCACUCCACCUCAUGCCCGUGCAUUGUUGGUACGCGUAUUUGAGCUCGAGUGUAUGCGCACCUCUGCAACCCCGUAACUAGAGACCGAAAUCAAGGGAUUUGAUUGGUGAGUGAUGGAAAAAAGGAGAGGAAUAGCAGCAGGAAUAGAAGGAUUUCGGUUCCAGUAGCAAAAGUCAAUCCUUAAUCAUCAUAGAGAGCAAGCUGGACAAGGAGGCAGGAAGCAUAGGAGUUGGGGAAGAGAGAUCCAUGUGUUGGCGAGUGCUAGCUGGGUGUGUGACUCCUGUUUGAGAGAGAGGGAGGACCUUUGCUGGGCACUCAAAGGAUGUGCUCGGAUAUGGUGGUCCAACUGCAAGGUAAUGCUAACACAUCUUGUUACUCUUUCUUCAAUUUUGAUAGGUUUACGACAGUUCCAUUCAAGCACAAAUAUGUUUAUGACAUUAAUUCAAAGUUGUAAAAUACAUAUGUUUAUAAUAGUUUAAUUAUUCUUACAUGAUUUCCACAUAUAUGUGUUGCUUUAGCCAAAAAAAUGUGCAGUGAACUUGUUACAUAGGACACCCUAGGUAUCGCCACUGGCAUCGACUAGACGACGCCCAUCACUGACACACUCUUGUCUUGGUAGCAUUGGCCCAGCUCAUUGACACACUUUAAUGGAAAUAUAAAGCCAUGGCUUGAUGUUGCUUUCAACAAGUAUAAUGCUCUGUGAACUAAGCAUGUAGAGACUGAAAUGGAAUUUGUGACACUAUGUAAUUUUAUAUCUGAAGUGAUUGAAGAAAUGCUCCACGAAUAAGGCAUCCACUCAUAUAUAUUCAACAUCAUGUACUUAAGCCAAAUGCAAUUUUUAGGCUUGCUGACUUGCUUUAUUCAUGAUCGAUGAGCUUUAUUACUUAGCAUGUAACCUUCCCAGUUUAUUUACUAAUCCUCCAUCUUUUUUUAGUUAUGUGUACAUCCUUCCAUUCAAGUAUGGAAACAGGCAAUUCCAGCCAUCAACAGUUGCCGCACCUGCCAACAUUAAAGAAAUUAUGUAGGCCUUAUGUAGUUGUUUUAGCUUUCUCUUGACAUACUUUAUAUAUGUUCAUGAUAAGUUGGGAUGGAGGAUUAUCAGUGUAAUAUGCACUUGCCUUUGUUAAAGCAAUUGGAUAUAGACCUGUCUGUGAGAUCUUUAGAGAUCAUUUAAGAACAUGUAUGUUUAAGCCUAUGAACAGAGACAAAGCCAAAUAUGUGCUGCAAAAUGUUCCAGUUUGCAGCCAAAUAUAUAUGCAAGAACUGUUACCUA